rnacentral:rRNA from 1 species
GUUUCCGUAGGUGAACCUGCGGAAGGAUCAUUAGUG